UGAGGAAUAUUGCGCAAUGGGGGAAACCCUGACGCAGCAACGCCGCGUGGGUGAAGAAGGCCUUCGGGUUGUAAAGCCCUGUCAGGUGCGAAGAACCCUUUCCAGGCUAAUACCCUGGAGAGCUGACGGUACCGCCAAAGGAAGCACCGGCUAACUCCGUGCCAGCAGCCGCGGUAAGACGGAGGGUGCAAGCGUUGUUCGGAAUCACUGGGCGUAAAGCGCGUGUAGGCGGUUUGAUAAGUCGAAUGUGAAAGCCCGGGGCUUAACCUCGGAAGCGCACUCGAAACUGUCAUGCUUGAGUACGGGAGAGGGAAGUGGAAUUCCUGGUGUAGAGGUGAAAUUCGUAGAUAUCAGGAGGAACACCGGUGGCGAAGGCGGCUUCCUGGACCGAUACUGACGCUGAGACGCGAAAGCGUGGGGAGCAAACA
rnacentral:rRNA from 1 species